UACGGAGGUGCUAGCGUUUUUUUUUUUUUUUUUUUUGUUCGGAAUUACUGGGGCGAAAGGGCGCGUAGGCGGCCCACCGCAAGUCGGUUUGUGAAAUCUCCGGGCUUAACCCGGAAAGGUCAAUCGAUACUGCGGGGGCUAGAGUGCAGAAGGGGGCAACUGGAAUUCUCGGUGUAGCGGUGAAAUGCGUAGAUAUCGAGAGGAACACCUGCGGCGAAGGCGGGGUUUGCUGGGGCUGACACUGACGUGAAGCGCGAAAGCUAGGGGGAGCGAACGGG
rnacentral:rRNA from 1 species